GUGUUGUGCACCGAUAUUGUAUAAGCAGCUGCCGAAGGGCAAGCGCUGUUCUCUGUUUACCAGUUCCAGUUCGUUUGUUGACAUUUUGUUAGAAUAAUUUGCGAGCAGGCUCUCACCAUUAAUACUUUCAGAACUCGUAUCAGAAUCUUCUCAACGCAUAAAAGUGUGAAGUUGUAGCUAUUUUGAUCUGCAAACCCCUUCUUGGCAGGCUUGGCUUUUGGCAGUGAAGGAUUUUCCAGAUUUCUAACUGAAAUACGCGAUGGAAUUACGAAACACUCUCAGUGCAUGUGUGCGUGUGUGGGUCUUUGUAGUUGUACAAGUAUGUCUGUUUGUAUUGGCAGCAACGGUAAGCUGUCAUGUUCACCUUAGGUGGUUGGUUGCUGCUCUGCUACGUUCGCUGUCACUGUCAGUGAGUUGUGAUAAGAUACGCGUAUCCGCCGUUGGGGACGGUCUGCGCGGAAAAAGUGAGCGCUUAUCAGACGCCACGAAUGUACCGCAUCACAUUCUGUUGGCUUGCACUUAAAAAUUAGUGCAAAGAAGAAGUCAACUCUAUCAAAUAUAGAAUAUAGAAUGUAGAAACAAAUAUUACUUCUAUUUCUAAAGUCUGCCAAAUAUCAUCAGAUGAAUUAAGCUUUCGAACGGUUUUUGCUCGGCCGAGCGUAGAUUGUUGGAUUCUAUUAAAAAGUUAAUUGCUACUUUAUUUUCUCACUUAAUUCGCUUCGCUCUCACUCUUCAUAAAGGUGAUACUUUAAGCUUGCUGCAAUUGCCGUAACUGUAAAUGGCUUAAAUACAUUAAGUACCCUGCGCGUCCAGAAGGGUGUGCAGUCAGUUGGCUUUCGUGGAUAUCACUUCUAAUUCGAUAAGUAGACAACUGCUUAUCAAACAAAGGUUCGAGUGCCGUCUAUUGUUUUGUGGCGGCUCUAAUAAAUCAAUGGGAAGACAGCGAAUUUUUUCGGAUCGACCAACAAAUGCGUAGAGCGCGAUUAUUGAGCAAUUUUAGACUUUAUCGCAAAAAUCUCAACCGGAAACAGAUAAUUGCGUUGCGACCACAAUAGUUGUUAUUUGAUGCCAGCAAGUGUAAGGCAUACCGUAAACCGCGGCAUUGUAUUACAGUGAAUCAGAGGGUAGAACCGUUCGUUCUCUUAUGUAUAUAUGAAUCCAAAGCCCAUUAAAACAUACUAAUUUUACUUAUUUUUUUUUAUUUUAUCAGAAAAGUUGUUUGUUGGUAGGAUCUAGUGACUUUUAAAAAGCUUAAGAGAAUUUUGCCAAAACUUAGAUAUUUAAGAUUUAAGUACGCUUAGUUAGUUGUCUGAAUUAAUAAAUAAUUUCCCUUGCUUAAGCAACGAUACAAAUACAGUGUGGUAUAUUACUUUAAAACAACUACGAUACUAUGAUAAUAGUAACUGUAAACCCAAUAUUAUAACUAUUACUAAUACAUUAUGUCAAAAUGUUUAUAAAUAUACUAACUCAAGAUUCAGCAAAUCAAAGAUUUUUUAAGAAU